CUUGAUGGACCCGAGGUAGAGCGGCUGCUGCCGCUCCUGGCCGUAGGUGGCGAGCAGCGCCUGCGCCUC
rnacentral:antisense_RNA from 1 species